UACGUAGGGGGCAAGCGUUGUCCGGAUUUAUUGGGCGUAAAGAGCGUGUAGGCGGUUUGGUAGGUCCGUUGUGAAAUCCCGAGGCUCAACCUCGGAACUGCGUCUGAAACUACUCGACUAGAGUACUGGAGAGGGUAACGGAAUUCACGGUGUAGCAGUGAAAUGCGUAGAUAUCGUGAGGAACACCAGAGGCGAAGGCGGUUACCUGGACA
rnacentral:rRNA from 1 species